AUUUUAGCUGCUUCCUCGCAAGCUUUCAAACCUUGCUCGUAAUCCUCUAGAGAAGCUUCCACAACUUGAGCAAUUGGCUGCAUCAGUAAAAAACCAAAAAAAAAU
rnacentral:sRNA from 1 species